rnacentral:rRNA from 1 species
UGUCUUUUGCGUACUUCUUGUUUCCUUGGUGGGUUCGCCCACCACUAGGACAAACAUAAACCUUUUGUAAUUGCAAUCAGCGUCAGUAACAAAUUAAUAAUUACAACUUUCAACAACGGAUCUCUUGGUUCUGGCAUCGAUGAAGAACGCAGCGAAAUGCGAUAAGUAGUGUGAAUUGCAGAAUUCAGUGAAUCAUCGAAUCUUUGAACGCACAUUGCGCCCUUUGGUAUUCCAAAGGGCAUGCCUGUUCGAGCGUCAUUUGUACCCUCAAGCUUUGCUUGGUGUUGGGCGUCUUGUCUCUAGCUUUGCUGGAGACUCGCCUUAAAGUAAUUGGCAGCCGGCCUACUGGUUUCGGAGCGCAGCACAAGUCGCACUCUCUAUCAGCAAAGGUCUAGCAUCCAUUAAGCCUUUUUUUCAACUUUUGACCUCGGAUCA